rnacentral:rRNA from 1 species
AUGAACGCUGGCGGCGUGCUUAACACCUGCAAGUCGAACGGAAAGGCUCCUGCUUGCAGGGGUACUCGAGUGGCGAACGGGUGAGUAACACGUGGGUGAUCUGCCCUGCACUUCGGGAUAAGCCUGGGAAACUGGGUCUAAUACCGGAUAGGACGAUGGUUUGGAUGCCAUUGUGGAAAGUUUUUCGGUGUGGGAUGAGCUCGCGGCCUAUCAGCUUGUUGGUGGGGUAAUGGCCUACCAAGGCGUCGACGGGUAGCCGGCCUGAGAGGGUGUACGGCCACAUUGGGACUGAGAUACGGCCCAGACUCCUACGGGAGGCAGCAGUGGGGAAUAUUGCACAAUGGGCGCAAGCCUGAUGCAGCGACGCCGCGUGGGGGAUGACGGCCUUCGGGUUGUAAACUCCUUUCGCUAGGGACGAAGCGCAAGUGACGGUACCUGGAGAAGAAGCACCGGCUAACUACGUG